rnacentral:rRNA from 1 species
CCUACGGGAGGCAGCAGUGAGGAAUAUUGGUCAAUGGCCGGAAGGCUGAACCAGCCAUGCCGCGUGAAGGUCAGUGCCCUAUGGGCGUUAAACCUCUUUUGUGCGGGAGCAAUACUGGUCACGUGUGGCCAGACGAGAGUACCGUACGAAUAAGCAUCGGCUAACUCCGUGCCAGCAGCCGCGGUUAUACGGGGGAUGCAAGCGUUAUCCGGAUUUAUUGGGUUUAAAGGGUGCGUAGGCUGUGAGGUAAGUCAGCGGUGAAAUGCCCCCGCUCAACGGGGUGAAGUGCCAUUGAUACUGGCUUGCUGGAAUGCGGAUGCCGUGGGAGGAAUGUGUGGUGUAGCGGUGAAAUGCAUAGAGAUCACACAGAACACCGAUUGCGAAGGCAUCUCACGAAUCCGCGAUUGACGCUGAUGCACGAAAGCGUGGGUAUCAAACAGGAUUAGAUACCCCAGUAGUC